rnacentral:rRNA from 1 species
AUUGAACGCUGGCGGCAUGCCUUACACAUGCAAGUCGAACGGUAGAGGGGGCAACCCCUUGAGAGUGGCGAACGGGUGAGUAAUAUAUCGGAACGUGCCCAGUCGUGGGGGAUAACGUAGCGAAAGUUACGCUAAUACCGCAUACGAUCUAAGGAUGAAAGCGGGGGAUCGCAAGACCUCGCGCGAUUGGAGCGGCCGAUAUCAGAUUAGGUAGUUGGUGGGGUAAAGGCUCACCAAGCCAACGAUCUGUAGCUGGUCUGAGAGGACGACCAGCCACACUGGAACUGAGACACGGUCCAGACUCCUACGGGAGGCAGCAGUGGGGAAUUUUGGACAAUGGACGCAAGUCUGAUCCAGCCAUUCCGCGUGCAGGAUGAAGGCCCUCGGGUUGUAAACUGCUUUUGUACGGAACGAAAAGGUUUCUCUUAAUACGGGGAGCUCAUGACGGUACCGUAAGAAUAAGCACCGGCUAACUACGUG